rnacentral:lncRNA from 1 species
AGACUGCACUGCAGUAUAUAUUAUGUACAAAAAACCCUCCACAACAGUGGAAUCAUUUUACAAGUGACAUGCAGAAGCUGAAGCUGCUUGGAGGAAUGUCAGAAAAAGACUCCAGACACAGCAUCCUCUUUGAAGCAGUGUGUUUGAUCUGAUCUGACACUUCCAGGGUAUUCACACAGAACUACUUGCCAGGCUGACAGCAGGGUGUUUUUCAAGUAGUGGAAAGAAUUUGUUAAGAUAUGUCUGGAAAAAGAAAAGGAAAAGAAAAAUUUGUAUUUACACCUGUAAUCUUC